UUCUUGUUUCCAAAUGUUCUUCAAGGUUGCAUCCUCAGCUACAAGCUCUUCAGGUUCAGGUUCAUUCUUCCAGUCCUUGGUGCUUUCCAUGAUCACAUCAUCCCCUCCCACUUCAAAAAGAUUUGUCCUCAAAUCUGUGUUACCUGCAAUAGAAGGGACCAAGUCAGUAACAUCAGAGUUUAUAAUCAGAUUACACUUACCUUGCAAGCCUCUUUGAUAGGCAUUAUUGCUGACUGGUUCUAUUAUAUAGAAGGGACUGAUCCAUUUGGCUCUCCUUACUCCUGAGGCAUUACUUAAACCUGAUACAUUGAAACAAGACAAGUGAACACAAGCAAAAACAUCAUAGAGUAAGAGUCUUAUCCCAAAGUUGUAUUUUAUCGGUUUUGGCUUGUAUGCUGCAUCUGGAGGUUCUUCUUUGAUGAGGAUGAAGCAAGUGACGUCCUGUUGUCUCUCCUGGUUUAGAUCAGGCGGCUUGAAACGUUUGUCUUCCUCACGCUUGUUCUUUCCCUUGGUAUGCUUCAAAGCUUCCAUAUAAUCUGCACAUGACUCUUUUGACAAAAACAAGUGCAUCAUAUUUGUGUAAUCAAUAAAAGAACUCUUGAAAACAUGAUUAGUUACCUUAGCAUGCUCACCUGGUCGCCAUAGAUAGGUUUGAGAUGUUCUAAACUCAGAAAAAUUCAAACAAAGUAAACACAUGAUCACCCGACUUGUAGAAUUCAUAACUCUUUCAUAUGAGAAGCUUUGGACAUGAUUCCAAUUCGACGUGAGACCCUGAUGAGUGUAGUUUCCAUUGCAGUUGAGUUUGUUGCUUAAUUCCUUCUGGGUGCUGAGAUAUGCUCCUCGGACUGCUCCUAUGUUAAACCUGGCGGCUAGACAGUUUCCAAGAUUUGAUUGUUGCAUCUCCAAUUUAGCCAAGGACUCAUCAUGGAUACUCUGAUCAUUAUAGCCCCUUUCUUCACCUGUACCUUUUUCAGCUUGUUUUGGACAAGUCAAGUGUGUUAUCAUGUCAAAGAAAGUGUUGUAGACCAGAAUGUCUCCAAAGCACAAAACAGCAUGAUUCCUCCAUCUAUUAUGUAUAUCAACAAAAAUAUUGCAGACCCAAUGAUGAGAUCCUAGGAUGAUGCUCUGGAACAGAUGGGAUAAUUCUUGCAGAAACGAAUCAAAGACUCAAGCUUCUCAAGGUAUGUGGAUCGAAUGGUGACACAAGAGGCUGCGGAAAGGCUCCUUGAUACUCCUAGGCAAUAGAUCGGAUAUGACACACCAAACUAGAGCCCUUAGUCUCUGGAUAUUACACACCAGAAGUUGGAUAUUACACACCAACACUCAAUCAACUCGACAAGCAAGAAGAAAAGAGAAAACAAAGGUUUUUGAUAAAAAGAUGGAUACUGAUACAAGGGGCCACGACCAGAAUAUAAAGGAGAAGCCUUGUACAUGCACAAGGUCUCGAAAAUACAAGGGAAAUAAAGACAAAGGCUCCCUUGGAAACACAACAAAGACUAGAGUUUUUUUUGAAAACUAAAUAACAUAAAAGCAUAGCUUAAAAUAUAAGAUAAGGUCUUCAUGUGGACAGACCAAGAUCAAUCAUCUAGGAGAUAGGAGAAGUAGACUUGUGGCCUCGUUAAAAACCUUCCUUUGGAAAAACCCAGUGGGACAAAACCAAAGGUUAGGAAAAGCACACACAAGCUACUUGCCUAGAUGAUAAUCAGCUUGAAGGUGGAGUAGCUUGAAUGAUGGUUAAGGUGUCUUGGAUGAUCAAGCUUCGGCCAAGACUAAUGUAUUCUUCUUGUUUCCAAAUGUUCUUCAAGGUUGCACCCUCAGCUACAAGCUCUUCAGGUUCAGGUUCAUGCUUCCAGUCCUUGGUGCUUUCCAUGAUCACAUCAUCCCCUCCCACUUCAAAAAGAUUUGUCCUCAAAUCUGUGUUACCUGCAAUAGAAGGGACCAAGUCAGUAACAUCAGAGUUUAUAAUCAGAUUACACUUACCUUGCAAGCCUCUUGGAUAGGCAUUAU
rnacentral:lncRNA from 1 species